rnacentral:rRNA from 1 species
AGCGAACGCUGGCGGCAGGCCUAACACAUGCAAGUCGAACGAACCUUUCGGGGUUAGUGGCGGACGGGUGAGUAACACGUGGGAACGUGCCUUUAGGUUCGGAAUAACUCAGGGAAACUUGUGCUAAUACCGAAUGUGCCCUUCGGGGGAAAGAUUAAUCGCCUUUAGAGCGGCCCGCGUCUGAUUAGCUAGUUGGUUGAGGUAAUGGCUCACCAAGGCGACGAUCAGUAGCUGGUCUGAGAGGAUGAUCAGCCACAUUGGGACUGAGACACGGACCAAACUCCUACGGGAGGCAGCAGUGGGGAAUAUUGCGCAAUGGGCGAAAGCUUGACGCAGCCAUGCCGCGUGAAUGAUGAAGGUCUUAGGAUUGUAAAAUUCUUUCACCGGGGACGAUAAUGACGGUACCCGGAGAAGAAGCCCCGGCUAACUUCGUG